UCUUCCGGGCCUUUCUGUGAGCUCAUUAGAGGAAGGGGUCUGGUGACUGAUAUUUCUAUUUUCCCUGUUAGUAGCGACUGGAAUUUGCACCAUCCAGGUCAGAUGGAAAAUAGAAGGCGGGAAAAUCUGACAGUCUCAUUGAUUUGCUCUCUUUGCCAUCACCACUCUUGAGAGGAAGAAAUGUGACUUCAAACUUGCAAUUAGGAACCAGCCUGCUAAGGAGUCCUCUCGUGAGCUCCUGUGCUAUGCGGAGCACAGGCCCAUCUCAUCUCAUUUCCUAAGGAGGUAGGUUCAUUCAUGGUUUCAGCAGGAGCAGGCAGUGCAAACGUGUGACACCCGCCCGCAAAUAACUGCCAGA
rnacentral:lncRNA from 1 species